rnacentral:rRNA from 1 species
GACGAACGCUGGCGGCGUGCCUAAUACAUGCAAGUCGAGCGGACAGAUGGGAGCUUGCUCCCUGAAGUCAGCGGCGGACGGGUGAGUAACACGUGGGCAACCUGCCUGUAAGACUGGGAUAACUUCGGGAAACCGGAGCUAAUACCGGAUACGUUCUUUCCUCGCAUGAGGAAAGAUGGAAAGAUGGUUUCGGCUAUCACUUACAGAUGGGCCCGCGGCGCAUUAGCUAGUUGGUGGGGUAAUGGCCCACCAAGGCGACGAUGCGUAGCCGACCUGGGAGGGUGAUCGGCCACACUGGGACUGAGACACGGCCCAGACUCCUACGGGAGGCAGCAGUAGGGAAUCUUCCGCAAUGGACGAAAGUCUGACGGAGCAACGCCGCGUGAGCGAAGAAGGCCUUCGGGUCGUAAAGCUCUGUUGUCAGGGAAGAACAAGUGCCAGAGUAACUGCUGGCACCUUGACGGUACCUGACCAGAAAGCCACGGCUAACUACGUGCCAGCCGCCGCGGUAACAC